UACAGAGGUCUCAAGCGUUGUUCGGAUUCAUUGGGCGUAAAGGGUGCGUAGGCGGCGCGGUAAGUCGGGUGUGAAAUCUCGGAGCUUAACUCCGAAACUGCAUUCGAUACUGCCGUGCUUGAGGACUGGAGAGGAGACUGGAAUUUACGGUGUAGCGGUGAAAUGCGUAGAUAUCGUAAGGAAGACCAGUGGCGAAGGCGGCUCUCUGGGACGGUACUGACGCUGAGGUGCGAAAGCGUGGGGAGCAAACAGG
rnacentral:rRNA from 1 species